GCUUGCAGUCACUAAAUAAUAUCAUUAAUUUUUGGCCACAUUUAUGGAAAAAUUUAUGUGGUUUAGUGGUUAUAACUCGGUAGAGCAUUCAACAAUUCGUGGGUUCGAGUCUUGAAGCUUGUAGCCAUGUGAAACUCCGGGACGGCUCUGGUUGGAACCACUCAUCACAUUUUCGUAUACGUUAUAUAUUUCCCGUCAAGAGAAACAAAGAAUGGCUUAGUUAUGACAUAAGGAAGAAGACGUAAGCAACCGAGAGUCGUUAAAAAGUGGAAAGAUAUGGGAAUAAAUUGGUAUAUUAUGGCGAAAUAGGGUUAUGGUUAGUUUACAAUUGAGAAUUGACCCAAUUUGUAACUAAUUUGUGGAUUACUUAUAGCUGAACACAUGUUAUUUUGCUUUUGCACUUUGUGUAGAUGAUAUUUUGUUUUGUUUUUUAAUCAUCUGGUUUUUGCUAAACUUUUUUAUUUAUUUAUCAAACUAUAUUUGCUACACUUUAAAACCUAUAAGGCAUAAGCCCAAUACAAAUAAACAAAUUAUGAAGAUUCAAGAAUGAUGGGGAGUGAAAUGUAACUACGUAGUAUAAAUCAAAGGCAAAAUCUAUCAUUCAGGUUUUUAGGCUCUUGCACAUUUGUGAAAUCGAAAACAUGUCUUUGGCUCUCUUAAAAGUCCCUAAAAGUUAUUAUGUAUAUGUUUCAUUAUGUUCAUGAAGCUGGAACAGCUUUACAGGAUGGAAAAUACAUAUCAUAAAAAAUUUAUGGGGUCACAAGGAUAUCUCCGUUCAAAAAAUGAGAAUUCCAUCGUUCAUAUAACUUUUCUUCGAUAGUACGCUACUGCAAUAAUAAUUAUAAAAAAGAAGAAACAUAUUACUAUAUAUAAAUUAUCCAAUGUGGACGAAUCUGUGGUCAUUUGUUAUUGACUAUAAAUUAUAUAUAAGUCAAUUCUCGAAUCGUGACGUCCGUUGACCAAAGUCCUUUUAUUUGUAUUGGGCUUAUUAUGUAUAGUCGGUCCACUUUUAUUGUCUCUGAGUCUCUGACGCUGAUGUUUUGUUCUUGCAAUACAAGCAAGAUUUUUUUGUUUUUUUGUUUUUUUUGGAUAUAUGGAAGUUCAAGAAGGCUCUACGCCUUUCAGAGGCGGGAUCCACACCAGAUUAAAUUCUUAUUUUUUAAAAAAUAAAUCUCUUCCAACGGACGUCGAACCCAAUACUUUCACCUAAAAGAUUUAUCAUUGGGACAACACCGAUAAAAAAAAGCAUGAUUUUCCGUUCAUACGGAUAAAAACUGUGGACAAGAAGAGUGUCCUCUACAUUACAUUAGCUAAACUAAUUUUACCAUUUCAAAGGUCCUUCCGAGCUCAUUAACCUUUUAAGCUUUGAAGGUAUGAUACAAACCAAAGUCACCUUUCUCCACAAUCACAUGAACACAAUACACAAUUUUGCGUAAACCUUUAAAUGUAAAUCAAGCCUUUGUAAUUUGUAUGAUCUGCGAUCAAAAUUUUGUUAAGCUUAUAAAAAAGGAACUGCAUCAUCAAAAUUGAAGACACUACUAACUAAAGGAAUACCAACUGCUACAAAAUCAAACUAACCAAAGCUAUUUUCUUUAUCAACUCCAUUAAUCCACAACAACAAUUAAUAUAACCAAACCCUAAAUCAAAUCAUUUCCCUUAACAGCUUUUCAAUCUCAAAUAUUCCAUUCAGAUUUAUACUAUUCCCUCAUAAAAAAGAACAAAAGAUUGAUCCAAAACGAUAACGGAGUAACACCCAUAUAUGCUAAUGAAGGAACCUCCUAGCCUACCAAAACUAGAAAAACCGAUUCAAAUCUAACUCCUUUUUCUUAGUGGAAGGAGAUGAAUGUGAAAACUAACUCCGAAAAAAGUUGAGGAUUAUGUUGAGAACACACAAUUACCAGCUUAAUGCAACCACCAAAGAACAUGUUAGAAAAACACUUGAUAAUAACGUUUCAUUAUUCAAUGGUAGCCAAACAAAAUUCAACAAUAAAGGAACAUAGAUUCUGUUCCAAGUAACUGAAAAUAUUCUAUUACCGAACCUCAUUGAAGCCAACUCUGAACAGAGAAACGAUGCUUCUGUUACACAUCAAAAGCCCUAGAUACGUAGAAUAUAAUUAUGACUAUAACUACUGUUGGGGAGUGGUACAAAUAAUCAAACAAACAAACUGGAGAUGACCAUGGGACAUCUUAAUUAGUGUUGGGUCCAGAGAUUAACUAUGGUGUGUGUUUGGAGAAGGAGAUGAUGAAUGAAGCAAAAGAACUCCGAGAAAAGUUUUGAGGAUUAUGACGAGAACACACAAUUAAACAUAAAGAAACGGCCUAACUUUUCAUAUUGGCAUAAACUCAAAGAUGUAAUUAAAAUAGUUAAUAACACUUGAUAAAUAACGCUUAUAGCAGAUUUUCCGAUAUG